GUGGACGCCAGUCUGCGUGGAGCCGACCUUGAAAUACCACCCUUUAAUGUUUGAUGUUCUAACGUGGACCCGUAAUCCGGGUUGCGGACAGUGUCUGGUGGGUAGUUUGACUGGGGCGGUCUCCUCCUAAAGAGUAACGGAGGAGCACGAAGGUUGGCUAAUCCUGGUCGGACAUCAGGAGGUUAGUGCAAUGGCAUAAGCCAGCUUGACUGCGAGCGUGACGGCGCGAGCAGGUGCGAAAGCAGGUCAUAGUGAUCCGGUGGUUCUGAAUGGAAGGGCCAUCGCUCAACGGAUAAAAGGUACUCCGGGGAUAACAGGCUGAUACCGCCCAAGAGUUCAUAUCGACGGCGGUGUUUGGCACCUCGAUGUCGGCUCAUCACAUCCUGGGGCUGAAGUAGGUCCCAAGGGUAUGGCUGUUCGCCAUUUAAAGUGGUACGCGAGCUGGGUUUAGAACGUCGUGAGACAGUUCGGUCCCUAUCUGCCGUGGGCGCUGGAGAACUGAGGGGGGCUGCUCCUAGUACGAGAGGACCGGAGUGGACGCAUCACUGGUGUUCGGGUUGUCAUGCCAAUGGCACUGCCCGGUAGCUAAAUGCGGAAGAGAUAAGUGCUGAAAGCAUCUAAGCACGAAACUUGCCCCGAGAUGAGUUCUCCCUGAGACUUAGAGUCUCCUGAAGGAACGUUGAAGACGAC
rnacentral:rRNA from 1 species